AUUAGACAUGAUCUUAGCUCGGUGUUGUCCCUAAUUUACAAAAACAAAUCUCAAUCCGGGGGAACCGACGGCGUUGGUGUCGCAUCACCGGCGUCAGAUGACGUUGUCACACCGGAUACCGUCACAUAUGUGAAGGCGUUGCCCGGCGGCGAACCCCUCCCUGACCAGCGUCUGUCAGUCGGCGAGCUGAUCUGCAUCUGCCGAGCUUUGGUUGGUGCUCAUCCUUCCUCCUUCCUAAGGCAAGUCCCACACUCGAUCGAUUGCAUUUUUCCAUUUCGAAUGUAGACGCAGAAAAACGAUAAGAAAAGACUCAAUCGCGCGCAGACAAAGCUAAGAACGCGAGGACGGAUUCCUCUGCCUUAGCUGUAUCUGAUCACGCACACCAGGUGUUCGACACAUUGCCGGUGCCUGUUUCUGCCCUCCAUUUGGCCAGGAUAACUCAUACCAUGUCUCGUACGGAUGGAGGCAUAGACCAAUGGCGAAGUUCGCAGUUCGAUUUGGAAUGGAAUGCAGCCAGGUGGAGUAAGGUGUUUGAUCAAAUGCCAGUUGCAGAGGCUGUGGUUCAUAUCUUUUAAGAUAGAGAAAAAGUGAAUACCACCACAGGAAGAACUAGAAGGUGCUGCAGGUAGGCAUUGAAUCCUGUUCCGACGCAUCUAGCAUUGUGUGUGUUCCCUAGUGAAUAUCACCAGGCUCAAGGCAAAUAUUCAGCUAUUUUAGCGAUGUGGCUGGUGAUAGUCUUGACCAACAACUCGAGCAUAUGGGGUCACCACAUCCGACAUGGUGGACUCAUAUGUUAACUGUAGCUCUAGAAGCCUGUUUGCAUAAUUUUAAAGCAGAAUGGGAAGUGCCUACAAAUUAACAUGGAAUGGAAGAGAGAAGUAAAACAAGGCCAGUAGGCGCAGGCGCAGAGGAAGCAAGAGCGGGAUAUUGAUCACUUCCUAUACUCUUCUUUUGAUCUACUUCCAACUACAAUUAUUUAGGUAGUUCUCCCCAACUAUAAUUAUUUAGGUAUAGAGGGAGUAUUUGAUGGGGAAGCUGUUGGUUUGGCAUGGUCCUGACAGGGGGAAAUAGCAGGAUACAACUACAAGUGACUCACAGUUCCUCACUUGGUGGUGUUCUCAGUUUGCAAAGUAAAUAUAGCCUUGUUCCUGGAGAAGAGAUUUCACAGGAAAACUUCCGGGCAUGGCAGAGCUCCAUCGGUUCUCUGAAAAAUGAAAUCUGAUGGCACCUAUUAUGCUACCCAUAUUAACUUGCCGUUUUCUGAGAAUAAAGAAACUGAAGGGGAGUGGAGCCCCCUGAUAAGAAGAUCUAACAAAGUUCUAGAUGUGUAGGUACUGCUAAAGUAAGUGAAAUCUCUAUGAUCAGCUUUAGGAAAUUUCUUGUCUGGUCAUGAGUGAGCAUGUUGUUAAACCGCAUGUAUAUCUUGGAUAGAGAUAGACUUUAGGUAGUUACUUAAACCUCUUAUCUCCUCAUGUAUUCAAAUAUCUAACUCUAGUUAUCUUCCUCUCCAAGAUGUAACUCCCUUCAAAUCUUGUACCCAUAUCCAGGCUUGCAACCUGUUAUAUAAACACGCACCACGUCGCCCAGCAAGGGUAAGACGUUUCCGCAAGUUCGCACAUGGUAAUCAGAGCUUUCCUUUUCCAAACCAUCUAGCGAAACAAACCCUAGCUAUGUCUUCCUCCGGCGCCUCCCAGCCAAACCUCAAUGGCCAAGUUACGGAGAGGCUUACCCGCACCAAUUUCAUCCUCUAGCGUGCGCAGAUCACGCCGCAGCUAAGAGGAGCGGGUGUCUUCGGCUACGUCGACGGCACAUCACCGGAGCCGGCCAAGAUCCUUACCUCCAAAGACAAGGAUGGGAAGGAAUCCUCUGAGCCCAACCCCCUAAACCCGAUCUGGGUUCGGGAGGACCAGCAAGUGCUGGGCUAUCUGCUGAACAACCUCUCCAAAGAGGUGCUUGUCCAGGUGACCGCGAUCACCACGGCGCAGGCGCUGCGGACGACUCUCGUCGGCAUGUUCUCCUCCCAGUCCAUGAGCCGCGUCAACAACAUCCGCACGGCUCUGGUGGGCGCGCAGAAGGGCACACAAUCGGUGCCCACCUUCUUCGCCCACAUGCGCGGCCUUGCUGACGAGCUGGCGGCCGCCGGCAAGCCCAUCCCCGACGAUGAGCUCAUCUCCUACAUCCUCCACGGCCUUGACAUGGAGUAUCAACCCCUUGUCUCCAUUCUUAACGCUCGCGUCACCCCGGUUUCCCUCGACGAACUGUUUUCCAUGCUCAGUAACUUUGAUCAGAGAAUGGCUAUGUUCCAGGGAUCCGACGGCUUCAAGUCAUCCGCGAAUGCUGCGACCCGCGGCCGCGGUGGUUCCUCCUCUCGCUACCGUGGUCGCUCGCGGGGUAGAUCGGGAGGAAAUGGUCCCUCCUCUGGAACAAAUCCCCGUAACGGCCCCCCUUCCUCCACCAACACAAAGGGGCGCCGUGGCGGGCCAGCAGGUCUCGCCGAGAUGCCGUGCGCUGUCAGAUAUGCGGCAAGCUCGGGCACACGGCUAAAGACUGCUAGUACCGCUUCGACGAGGACGAGGCAUCCGGUGAUGAUGAGGAGAAGGUUGCAGCUGCUACCGAUGGCUCCUACGGCGUCGACACAAAUUGGUACCUCGACAGUGGGGCUACCAACCAUCUCACCGGCGAGCUCGAGAAGGUAACCCUCCGUGAGAAGUACCACGGCAAGGAUCAGAUCCACACGGAAAAUGGUGCAGGUAUGAGAAUAAGUCACAUUGGUCACUCAGUCAUUCAUACCCCUCAUCAAAAACUUCAUCUUCGAAAAAUCUUGCAUGUUCCUAGCACCCACAAAAAUCUGCUCUCAGUUCAUAAAAUUGCUAUUGACAAUCAUGUCUUCCUCGAAUUUCAUCCCUUUUUAUUUCUCAUAAAGGAUCAGGCCACGAAGAAAAUACUCUACCGCGGUAGAUGUGUUCGAGGACUCUACCCAUUGCUUCCACAAGAUCAAGGAUCAAAUAAAUAUGCCUACGAUGUUGUCAAACUUUCUUCAACACGGUGGCAUGAUCGUCUAGGACAUGCAUCUUUUUCUUUAGUUGAACGUUUGCUUAGGAAAAAUAAGCUCAUGUUUGUUGGUGAGCAUAGUGUCGAAACUAUUUGUGAUUCUUGCCAAAGAGCUAAAAGUCAUCAGUUGCCUUAUCCUAUUUCCACUAGUGUUUCUACUCAACCACUUCAAUUGAUUUUUCGGAUGUUUGGGGUCCUGCCCCCAGAUCUGUUGGUAGACACACCUAUUAUGUCAGGUCCAUUGAUGAUUACAACAAAUUCUCAUGGAUCUAUCUUCUUAAGAAACGAUCUGAAGUUUUUCAAGUGUUUCAAAAUUUUCAAGCACUUGUUGAACGCAAAUUUGAUCGCAAAAUACUUGUCAUUCAAUCUGAUUGGGGAGGGGAGUAUGAAAAAUUAAAUUCCUUUUUUCAACAUCUUGGCAUCUCUCAUCACGUGUCAUGCCUUCAUGCCCAUCAACAGAAUGGCUCUGCUGAGCGCAAGCACAGACACAUUGUUGAGGUCGGCUUAGCUCUCCUAGCCGGGGCCUCCAUGCCCCUAAAAUUCUGGGAUGAGGCGUUUCUCACAGCCGUACAUAUCAUCAACAUGCUUCCUAGCCGAGUGAUAAACAAUGAAACACCCAUCGAGAGACUCCUUCACACCAAACCAGACUAUAAAUCUCUACGUGUUUUUGGCUGUGCAUGUUGUCCUAACCUCCGUCCAUAUAACAAACGAAAACUCAUGUUUCGGUCUACUCAAUGUGUUUUUCUUGGGUAUAGUGCUCAACACAAAGAUGUAAAAUGCCUUGAUGUUUCUUCUGGUAGAGUGUACAUCUCUCGUGAUGUUGUUUUUGAUGAAACAAAGUUUCCCUUCUGUGAGCUUCAUCCCAAUGCGGGAGCUCUCCUUCGCCAAGAAAUUCUUCUCUUGCCAUCCCACCUAUCAGGUACAAAUCAAGGGGUUGAUGACUAUGCUAAUCAUAUGUUGACUAACUCUCUCACCCCUGCCCCUGAGUUUUGUGAUGAUUCAGGGAAAAAUAGCAAAGAAAUUGGAGUUUUUGAUGCCCCGGACGGCUUACUGCCUCCAUAUCACAUGUGCCUCCCCGCAGGAAGAAAAUCCCCCUCGGGAUCCGCUACGCAGUCUGACGCGUCGGCAUAAUCCCCCUCGGGAUCCGUGCAGCAGCCUGGCGCGUCGGCCGUUCCCUGCCCAGACACGGGUGGCGGCAUGACAGGCGGGACAGGCGUAUCCGCUCCNCGGCCGAUCCCGAGACCGUAUCUUCAUCACCUAUCGAGGACGGCUCGCUGCAUCUGGUGCCGGCUACUGUUCCCGAACCAGCUGCACCACCAUCUUUUGCCUCUUCGACGCUGCCUCGCACACGGCUACAGGGAGGGGUAACAAGACCUGUUAAUUACAAGCACCUCACCAAGUAUGGUAUGGUAUGCUCUACAAGUGAAUCUGGUGAACCACACACACUUGAGGAAGCCCUUGGCGAUGAGAGGUGGGUACAGGCUAUGAAUGAUGAAAUCAUGGCACUACAUAAAAACAAGACAUGGCAUCUUGUUCCUCCACAACAAGGUAAAAAUAUUAUUGAUUGCAAAUGGGUAUAUCGGAUCAAAAGAAAAUCUGAUGGAACAAUUGAUCGCUAUAAAGCUAGGCUUGUUGCAAAAGGUUUUAAACAUCGGUAUGGGAUUGACUAUGAGGACACUUUUAGUCCUCUUGUAAAGGCUGCCACCAUCCGCCUUGUUUUAUCUAUUGCUGUUUUCAGGGGCUGGAGCCUUAGACAGCUAGAUGUACAUAAUGUGUUUCUUCAUGGCGUUCUGGAAGAGGAAGUGUACAUGAAGUAACCUCCUGGGUUUGUAAACAAUGCUGCUCCCUCUUAUUUUUGUCGACUUGACAAAUCAUUAUAUGGGUUGAAACAAGCUCCAAGGGCAUGGUACUCACGUCUCAGCCACAAAAUGCAAACACUUGGUUUUUCUCCUUCCAAGUCUGACACAUCACUGUUUAUCUAUAAUAGACACAGCACAUGCAUAUUUGUUCUGAUAUAUGUUGAUGAUAUCAUUGUCACCGGUUCUUCUGAUGAGGCCAUUACAGGGCUCUUAAAAGAUCUUAGUACAGAGUUUGCUCUCAAGGAUCUUGGAGAUUUGCACUAUUUUUUUGAGAUUGAAGUAAAAAGGCAUGAACAUGGUCUUCAUCUCUCUCAAGAAAAAUAUGGAGCAGAUCUGAUAAAAAAGGCUGGCCUACAAGGUUGUAAACCUUCACCCACUCCAUUAUCAAGUUCAGAAAGAUUAUCUCUUGCAGAACGACAGCCCUUGAGUUCAGAUGAGAGCACUAAAUACAGAAGUCUUGUAGGUGCUCUCUAGUAUCUAACACUUACCAGGCCUGAUAUUUCAUUUGCUGUUAAUAAAGUCUGUCAGUUUCUACAUGCACCUACCACAGCUCAUUGGACUGCUGCCAAGCGUAUAGUCAGAUAUAUCAAAAAUACUCUCAAUGUUAGACUUAGCUUCAAUAAGUCCUCCUCCACACUUAUUAGUGCCUUCUCAGAUUCUGAUUGGGCUGGAUGUCUGGAUGAUAGGCGUUCAACAGGUGGUUUUGCAGUAUUUUUUGGACCAAACUUGAUCUCAUGGUGUGCAAGGAAACAAGCCAAUGUUUCUAGAUCCAGCACAGAAGCAGAGUAUAAGGCUUUAGCAAAUGCUAUAACUGAGAUCAUAUGGGUCCAGUCCAUGCCAAAAGAACUUGGUCUCAGAAUUCCUCAACCACCAUGCUUAUGGUGUGAUAAUCUUGGUGCAACUUACUUAUCAGCUAAUUCAGUUUUUCAUGCUCGCACAAAGCAUAUUGAAAUAGACUUUCACUUUGUAAGAGAAAGAGUUGCGAACAAACAACUUCAAAUCAGAUUUGUGCAUUCUCGAGACCAACUUGCAGAUGGCUUUACAAAACCACUAGCUACAAGACAGUUUGAAGAUUUCAAGCAUAAUCUCAACUUGAUGAAGUUGUAAUUACGGAAGGGUGUUAAACCGCAUGUAUAUCUUGGAUAGAGAUAGACUUUAGGUAGUUACUUAAACCUCUUAUCUCCUCAUGUAUUCAAAUAUCUAUCUCUAGUUAUCUUCCUCUCCAAGAUGUAACUCCCUUCAAAUCUUGUACGCAUAUCCAGGCUUGCAACCUGUUAUAUAAACACGCACCACGUCGCCCAGCAAGGGUAAGACGAUUCCGCAAGUUCGCACACAUGUUACUAAAUUCUGUCAAGAUGAACAAAUAUCUGAGAAACCUUCGGUCUGCAUAAAACUCCGCUCCAAGGGACAAUAAUUAAGUGCUGCUGAUAUUACAGCUGCUAGCUUCGUUAUUAUGUAAACAUAUACAGUAUAACAUACACCAGCCCAGCCAAACGUACAUGAUAUAGCACACAAGUGUAUAUAAUAAUAAGUCAAAUGUGUGUACAGGCAUUGCACUUAUUACAUGGAACCAUAUUGUCCAGAGGAAAGCCACACACGUGGACCUGUAAGUAGAAUUAGUAACUGGACUCCCACACCCACACCACUCAAACCAAUCGGCACAAGCACAACACAAAUGCACACUCAGUAGACAGAAACACACAAUGGCAAACCACACGAGCACACACAAACACAUACCAUGGCAGGAAUUGAUGAUGAACGGAAGAAGUAACAGGAUGGCCUUCAGUUGCUCCAGCACCAAUCCUUCACCUUCCACAAGGAUUUAUCCGCUNUCUUCCAACAUGUUAGGGACACUGUCACCACCGUUCAACUCCAGCUCCUUUAAUGCAGGAAGUUUGUUGAUUCCUGACAGAGAAACAAUUUCCUUGGAUGACCAGACGAUCUUCUCAAGAUUAGGAGAGCUGUUGGUGAAGCUUAUCUCGGUUAUGUCAGACUCAGAGGAGUCAACAGUAAGAAGGUUGAGGUUUUGGAAUUCAUCUUCGAAGAUAAGAUGACGGUCAUUAUAAAACUUCCCCAAGAGCGCUAGGUAGCGCAUCUUUUUAUUGCCUGCGAGGAUUUUCAGAUCACCUUGCUCUAGCAUUGUAUCACGAAGAGUCACCUUGGCUAUGUGCUUGGCAUUGUCAAAUAACGAAUGCACCAUCUUCUUGUCAUUGACGCCCUUCAACUCGAGCUCCUCCAGUUUCUGAAGGCAGUUGACUCCACUGAUAGAGACUAUGUUGGUGGAGGACAAAACGAUCUUCUCGAGGUUACUAGCAGCUCCCUUAUCAAAUUUGAUUUCAGUCAUGUUGUUUCCCUCAACAAGAAAUUUGUUGAGAUUUUUGAAUUCUCCCUUAUUGAAAGUGAGCUUGCUGUCAUUGUACGCACUGUGUCGAAGCUUGACACAACGUAAGUUCUUAAGAUUGGCAAGGACCUUCAGAUGUUUUUGGCUCAAAAAAGUGCAACUUAGAGUUACCUUCGCAAGUUGCUUUCCAUUUUCGGUCAAUGACUCAAGAAGCUUCCACAUUUGUGUGCUAGUGCUCUCAAGAUCCUUGGGGCUCUCAAAAUCCCUGGGGCAUUUACUCUUUCCAUUGAUAGUUAGGCUCUCAAGAUCCUUGGGUUUGUUUCUCAGGCUCCGCUCUGCUUCAGGCUUCUCGUAUAUGGCUAUGUCAAGAGUAAUUGUCAGAGAACGGAGAGACUGGUUUAGGAGGUCACUGAUUGAAUUAAGCAAUGACUUGAGGUCACUCUCUUUGUUGAUAACCACACCGAGCUUCUUUAGGUCAUUUAGAGUUGCAAUGUCUACCAAGUCUUGUCGAUUCUUCGGCUUGACAUUGGACAAUACCUCCACACCCAGCAUUUUUUCGAUCUUGCCAGGGAUCUGCACACUGAAGUAAUCAGCAGGACUUGAAUCAACAUGACUAGGCGACAGACGCUUCCGAACAUUCUGAAGCUUGGCAUUGCACAGGACCUCCACUUUUUCUGUCUUGUCAGCAGGACUGCUUUGACUAGCCAUCAGAUCCUUUAGCUUUUUACCAGCCAGCAGACGUUUCAGCUUUCGCAGCAGGACAUUUCUUGUUGCAGAUGCAGGGAUCUCAGUCUCCCGGAUAUCCAAUACCUCCAGCUCAAGAAGAUUGUUGAUUUCACUGGGCAGCCUGGUAACGCCCGUUCCCCUUAGGCUGAGAUACUUGAGCAUUAGUAUCUUCCUGCAUAUGUCAGUCAGGUAGUGCUGGUACUCCGGGAAGCAUACACAACCUUCUAGAUCUAGCACCUUGAGCUUGGAGAACUGAGAUGAUUUUUUCAAGAAAUUCUCUAUUUUCUCAGAGCUGCGGAGACGGACAUCACUGAAAAUGGAGAAGUGAUGAGCCAAGUGGUGUGACAGACGUGUCUCCAGAAUUCGCUGCUUAAUGGCGAUCUUGGUAAUGAACCCAUAGACUAGCUUAUCCACCAUGCAACUCUUGACCUUUCCAGAAGCACCAAUGUCAGCUGGACAAACAAGGCACCUAGCAACGAGUGUAUCAAAACAUUUCUCAGCCUCAACCACUGAAGAAGGCCAGCUCCACUCUUUGGUGGUUAUCAUCCCUUCUGCAACCCAUCGUCCUAUCAAGGUUGACCGUCUGACGGUUUGUCCUUGAGGGAAGAUAGCGAGGUACAACAAACAGGACCUGUACUCUUUAGGCAGGUCCCUGUAAGAGAACUUGAACAUCAUACUGGGCAAUGAUUUUUGUGUGGCAACAUCAUGCAAGGUGUCGUGCAACUUCUUUAACUCGUCACUGCUCCUUUUGGGUUUGGCAUACAAUGCAUGAGCGAAGAUCUUCAUGCAGAAUUCAUGUGGCUUGCACUUGCACAAGAUGUUGUGAAGAACCCGAUGGUCAUUUAUAUACUGGCUUGUAACCUGGAGCACAAUAUCAAAGUAGAGGCCAACAGGAGAAUAUUCUAUAAGCUCCAGCCCUGGACAGCCAAAAUAUUGCCUUGUGUCAUCUUGAGUGGUCUUGGCCACAAUCACAGCACCAGAGAUGGGGCAGUUCGACCCCAACAGGCUCAAACUAUUUCUGGUCUCUUCCCAUUGGGGUACAUACUUGUCAGAAACUUUGAGGAUGACCAGGAUCCUUUGAUUAUUAUCUCUCAAACAUUCUUUAAUCUUUUGCGCGACCAUUUUGAUCUUGAGCUGCUUCAUGAUCUCCCUUACGAUUUCUUCCUUCUUGUUAUCUGUGUUUACUUGAAAAUCAUCUUUCGGGGCGGUUUGAGCUUCUUCACUGCCUGUCUCAGGGUUCUUGUCAGAUUUGUCUACCCGCAGCUCAUGCAGCAUCUCCUUAACCUCUUUCUUGACCAUAUGUUUGAUGAUAUCAUCCACCAAUGUUCUAGGAGUACUAUUGGAAGCAGUGGUGGUCCACUUUGGGUUUGGGAACACCUCCCGCAGAAUGUUUUCAUAUUCCUGUUUCUCUAGAAUGUUUCCAAGUUUUGUUGCUGUAUUCUUGAUGAUGUCAUCGUACAAUUCUGCCACCAUGGAUUUGCUCUUUUUCUCUUUUUCAGAUGUAGCAGUAGUAGUUGAGUGGUAGGUGAGCAGCCAGAGUAGUAUGUCCAGUGAUUUAUCUCUGACUAAGUGUUCCAAAGUUUCUUUGCCCAUGGGUGAUUUGCCUUCCGUAUUUUUUCUGCCCUUGUGUGAUUUUUGCAGCUCUGACAGCUGCUCUUUCCCAUCCUCAAGAUUGCAAAUUUUGAUGUCUUGAAGCUUCUUGUUGACAUCCAUUGUUUUUAUCUUUGUCUUGAUUUCACCCAUCGUCUCCUUUCUGUAAUCGUAAGUAUCCCAUUUUAACAUGCAACUACGAGGACCAGCAGGAGGACCUAUCUUUUGCUGCCGCUUGAUCUCAGCCAGGAUGUAGCAAAGAAUCUUGUGCGGUCUUAGCCUUACAAAACUGUAGUGCACCUCCAGGACGUCGACCAAGACGACGUGUUCUCCGUCCUUGGUUUCCGAUGAUACAUCUGCCUUAGCUUCAGGCGCAAGAGCGCCGCGGUCUCCCUUGGUCACCGGUUGCACGUCCCCCUUAGCUUCAGGCGCAAGAAGACCGCCAUCGCCACUGGUCUUUGAUGGCAGAUCCGCCUUAUCUUCAUCCGCAAGAGGGCCACCGUCGCCCUUGGGCCCUGAUGGCACAUCCGCCAUAUCUUCAUGCCCAAGAGCGCCACUGUUGCCCAUGGUCCCGGAUGGUACAUCCACCUUAUCUUCAUGCACAAGAGGGCCAUCGUCGCCGCCCUUGGUCUCUGAUGGCACAUCCACCUUAUCUUCAUGCGCAAGGGCACCACCGUCGCCCUUGGUCGAUGAUGGCAUGCCCGCCUUAUCCUCAUGCGCAGGAGCGCCACUGUCGCCCUUGGUGCUCGCUGUCACAUCCGCCUUAUCUUCAUGCACAAGAGAGCCGUUGUCACCCUUGGACUCUGAUGGCACAUUUGGCUUAUCUUCAUGAGCAAGAGCGCCACCUUCGCCCUUGAUCUUUGCUGGAACAUCCGCCUUGUCUUCAUGCGCAAGAGCGUCAUCGUCGCCCUUGGUCUCCAGUGUCACCACAGCCUUAUCUUCAUGCGCAAGGGUGUCGACAUCCUUGAUCUUCAGUGGCCCCGACGUCCUUGAUCUUCGGUGGCAUAACCACCUUAUCUUCCUUAUCUUUGAGCAAAGAGUGUUGACGUCCUUGCUCGCCGAUGGCACAGCUGCCUUAUCUUCAUGCGUAAGAGCGUCGGCGUCCUUGCUCGCCGAUGGCACAGCUGCCUUAUCUUCAUGCGUAAGAGCGUCGGCGUCCUUGAUCUCCGGUGUCACAGCCUUAUCUUCAUGUGCAGGAUCGGUGUCCCGUGGCACACCAUUGUUUUUCUCAUCCUCUGCCCUCUUGAAAUAGGCUUUCGCCACGUCCAAGGCUUCAUUCGGAAGAGCAUCGGCAUCUUUGUUCUCUAUUACCACAAAGGUGAUGGAUGGCAGUGGUGGUUUUGAUCCGGCCGCCUCCAGUUUCACCCCCGAUUGCACCAUCCAGUGGUCUAGCCUCCUCCUAAAGUAAUCUUCCUUGUUCAUCUUCAUACUAGUCAUGGACAAGGCCACCACCUUGAGUGGUGGAUCACCCCCGUCUUGGUGGUGGUCGUCGUCUUCUUCUUCUUCAUGGUCUUGAGUGGCUGGCAAUAACGAUGGCUCUGCGAGCUGCCCAGCUUGAGAAGAUGGUGAUGACUCCACCGGUUUGACCUCGACGCCAUACCUUAAUCGGCGGUUGCCGAUAUCCUGUGCCCGGUCCUUGAGCUCCCUCAGCUGGCCCGCGGCGCGAUGCUGCGCGAGCAGCUUGCGCAGCAGCCAGGGAGCCCACAAGAGGUAGCGGCCAGGACCUUCCUUAGGCAAGUGGAGCGCGGGGUCCCCGCGGUAGAGGUAGAGGUCGAUGCAGUUGUUGCAGUCAUUGGCGAGGAUCCGGACCUGGUUCAUCCAGGUGCGGACCUGCUCGUCGUGCUCACGGCUAUUCCCGGAGAGGUUCGCCAGGAAGCUGCCCAUGCUCUCCAUCUCCUCCUGGAUGAACUGCACGUCGUGCCGGACGCGUCCGAGCCUCAGCGCCUCAUGGCUGAUCACGCCCAGCAGCGUCCCCACAGCGCCUGACGCCAGCUCCGCCAUGGCUAAAUCCCUCCGCCGCCGCCGGCGGACUGGUGUGUGUGAUGGUGUCUCAGGAGUUUGAUUGAUCGGUUUCGCAGAAUCAGGCUAGGCUAGCACCUAGCAUGCAUGCGUCUGUGUGGUGUGUGGGUGUGGCCUUGCAUGCAAUGCGAUGCACACGUCUAUCUCCGUGUGUGUGCGCGCCGUGAGCAGCUAGCAAAAGGAUUUGUUCUUGUAUUCUACCUGGAACCAACGCCACCAAGGCAUGCGUGCAGGCAGCUUCUUCUUUUCCUUUUUCUCCAUUCCUUACUUCUUUCAAAAUGAGCCUUCAUGAUGAAUGUAGGCAGGGGACCGCAAUUUUCCUACUCUUCCAGGAUGCAUCAUCCCAUUACCCAACUUCUUCUUUUCUUUUCUGUUAUUUCUUUACUUUAAAAAAGGCUGCAUGAAGGCUGCAGAUCCUUCAUCAUGAUUUCUCAUUUCAUCUUUGAUCGACUGGAGUGGUGUAAUAGAAGGGAUGACCUUAGGCCCUGUUUGGAACCAUAAUAGAUUAUAAUAAUCUGGAUUAUGAACAUAGAUUAUAUAAUCUGGUUUAUAAAAAUAAUCCAGGUAGGCAUGUUGGAGGCCAGAUUAUAUAAACUGUAAACCAGCUUUUAAAAUGUACAAUGACAUGUUUGUCCUCAGUUUACAAGAAAAAAAUAGGAAAGUUGCGGUGCCACUGCGUAAUUCUCUUGAAGUUUACAAGGAUAACACGUCAUUUGUAAUCCAUAAUCUCAUUUUAGCUGGGGUAGAGGAGAUUAUGAGAUUAUAAUAAUCUGGUCAUCUAGUUUAUAAAAUCUACAAUAUAAACUGUCCUGUUUGGAAAUACAAUAGAUUAUAAAAACCAGAUUAUAUAAUCUGGGUGGUUCCAAACAAGGCCUUAAACGAUCUCUUGACUCUGAUAUCAUAUUGAAUUAAUGCAUCAACCAACUCAUACAAAUGUUCGAAGUGAUAGAGGAAGGCGGACAAUAUAUUUGAACAGCGAGCAGGAUGGAGUGCUCAGCAUUUUACACUUUCUGAUGAACGUUUUGUUUUAAAAUGUAGGCAAGGGUGUUUUUAUUAGGGAAAACAAGCAAACAGGUGAGAUAUACUUUGAGAACUAACUCCAAGCAGGAGCCGGCCUGGGUGCAUCGGUCGGUGGAGCCCCAUCCGAAGAUGUGUCUAAGAUGGCCUUGUUCUCACUGGUCUGUACUCUGUAGAUACAUAGUAUAUAAGUUCCAUAAAGGCCUAAAAGUAAUCUGCCCGCAGUUAAAUUGUGUUGGUGGAGUUAGAAAAGAACCCAUAGUUCUACAAGCAAGCAAGCACAACUGGUAAGUUCUCAUGUCAUCUUUGGUCUUCUGUAAGGAUACGCCACUAAUUGAUUGGUCAUCCCCCUGUUACAAUUUCGCUAUAUAUAUGGUCCCUUUCGUGUGAUAAACUGGUCGGCAACUCGACUACUUCACUGCCAGAUGACUUUGAUUUCAUUCGGACCUUGGUCGUUUGGAAGGGGAUAGCAUUUGAUUCUUCCUCCAAGCAGGAGUCGACCUUGGUGCAUCAGCGCUACGCCACCCUACCGCUACGGAUGUUUUGGAAUGUUUUGUGCAUAGUGCAGGUAACGUGAAGGGUCUUUGGUUCUCCCCUGCAGAUGAUGUUUCUUGGACGGCAUUCUUCUCACUGGUUCAUGUAUACAUACCACCUUGUCAUAAUUAAAGACCUCCAAAUCUACAAUGUGGCAACAGGUGAAUCAUGUCGAUGAAGUAGAAAAACAAAACAGGAUUCUACAAGGGAAAACACCACGGUGUCUAUUGGCAAUCUCAGGAAAAAAGGCGUUUUAUUGGUAGUCUUCUGCAAGUUAUCUCCAGCCGGAGCAUCAACCCAUUACCUAACUUCUUCCUUUUAUUUUCUGAUAUUCCUUUACUCUUCAGGAGGCUGCUGAUCCUUCAUGUUGAUUUCUAGUGUUAUCUUCGAUCUUGUGGAAGGAUACAUCGUCGAUUGGUUCAUCGUCCACGCCUACGUUAUGAUUCGUGCUAUGGUCCCCUCCAUGUGAUAAACUUGUCGACAACUCGGACUACUUGAUUGACAAGUGACUUUGAUUUCAUUCUAACCUUGCUACCUUUGCAACGAGAUAGCAUAUGUGUUUCUUUCUCCUUUGCUUCCAUUUUGCUCGAGGAACACUAAAGAUGCUGCACUAUUAAGCAUGCACUUUGGGACAGUUACAUUAAUAACAUUGAUUAGCAUGCUCAAAGAACAAUUGCAAUGGAUAAAUAUGUUGAAAUAGCAGGCAUCACAUGAUAUAGUUUUAGUAUAUUACCAUAAUAUAGGGGAGUUUUCAUUGAUAAGUCACCUAAAACAAAGGGGUGCAGGCUGAAUUCUUAUUUGUCCAUAAACA
rnacentral:lncRNA from 1 species